AAGGCCACAACCAGCUGCAAAGUUAUCCUCACAUGCUAAUCAGUUGGUCAUUUUAAAUUUGGUCAAGGUUAGAUUUGUUAAGAAAGGUCUUCCCCAGAUCCUAGAACUCUCCUCACUAGCCCUGGAAGAUAAGACCUUGUAGUGGCUUUAUCUAAGGAGAGAUUGUCCCCUUUGUCCCCACCCCCCGACCCCCACCGGUGGCUGUUCUGUCGCCACAGGGCAGGUCAGGGCCCACACCCACAGGAAAUGCCUAUUUGUUUCAAGUAACAUUUAACUCAGCAGCUUUCUUCUACUUGGGCCUGCAACUCCUUUUUCUCCCUUUUUUUCCCCCUUUAAGAAAACUAAGUCCAUUUUAAUUUUAUGGGCUUGACAGAACUAGGACAAUAGGACAAUGUUUCCUCGGAUCAAAAUUUUUUGUGAGAAUUUUUUUGGCAGAAUCAGUGUUUGCAAGAAGCAGAUAAAACUUGACUGUUGGAGAACCUCGCCGUAGCAAGCAGCUGCCUGCCAGCAAAUCUUCAGUUAACAACAGAGCUGGAGUCAUUGUUAGCCAGGAAACCAGUCUUUUUGCACCUGUCUGGAGGGAGGGCAGAGGAAGAAACUGAAGCAGUGGGCAGGCUCAGACCCUUAUGUUCCCAAAGGAAUGGUGAGCGACUAAAUGCAUAUUUGACCAGAGCGCCAGUGUCUUUUUGCAAACACAGCCAACAGUGGAGGAUUUGCAGGGCGGCCUGUUUAAUGCCGCAUCAUAAACCACUAAAAACUCAGUGACUUAAAACAUCGACCAACUUUAUUUUUAUUGUAAGUCUUUGGAUCAGGAGUCUGGGCAGGGUUCUGCUGGGUGAUUUGUUUGUUCUAGUGGUAUCAGCUGGGAUACUUGGCGGGUUAGUGCCUGGUCUGAAGAACACAAGACGGCAUCACUUGGCACGUCCUGGUACCUCAGUGUUGACAUCUGGCAGGAUGGACUCAGCUGGAUCCCUCUCUUCCAUGGAGUCCCACUCUCCAGAAAGGGAGUGGGAUUUUUUUUUUCCAUGGUGGCUCAAAGCUCUAGAGGAAGGAAGCAGAAACUGCAGUCCUCUUAAAGGCUGGACCCAGCAUUGGCCGAGCAGUCAUCGAGCCUGCCCGGACUCAAAG